GUAAUAAAUAUAGCCUAACCAAUCAUUAUAUAAAAUAAUUUUUUUAAAUAUUAAAUAAAACAUUUUACCAUUUUAGUAUAGGAGAUAGAAAAAUUUAACUAGCGCAAUAGAAAUAGUACUGUAAAGGAAAAAUGAAAUAGAAAUUAAAUAAAACAUAAAAACAAUAAAAAGCAAAGACUUAACCUUUUACCUUUUGCAUCAUGGUCUAGUUAGUUUAACCUAGCACAAAGCACUUAAGUUAGAUAUCCCGAAACUAAGCGAGCUACUCCGAAGCAGCAAAACGAGCUAACCCUUCUCUGUGGCAAAAGAGUGGGACGACUUCUGAGUAGUGGUGAUAAACCUAUCGAGCCUAG
rnacentral:rRNA from 1 species